rnacentral:lncRNA from 1 species
CAGUAAAAGAAAUCAAUGAUAGAAAUUUCACAAAACACUGAUAAACUAUCUAAUAACCAGUAAAAGAAAUUUGACAAAACACUCCAUUUUGAGCACUAACAUCUAAUAACCAGUAAAAGAAAAAAGACAUACACUAAAGGUCUUAAAAUCAUUACAAAAUGAAUAAACUAUCUACAAAUAUUUUCAAAGUCAAGCCACGUAUCCAUUUUUUUUUACACUGUAUGCAAUUUGCAAAUCAAAUUAGUGAUAUAAAUAAUAUUAAUAAUGCAAUAAUGACUAAUAAUAAGACUAAUAAAAAGAAAUAGUCAAAGAAGAUACCAAAUCUCUAACUUCACCUUAAAUGUCACCGAGAAGGAAAAGUCUCACACUCCACUCCCUUAUUGUGAUUUACAACAGUCGAAUUUGAUUAUUAUGGUGGUGAAUGAAAAAGAUGAUAGUGUAAACGAAAAUGAUUUAAGUAUUGUUCUGUGAGAGAAAAGUAGGGGAAAGAAAAUUUUAAGAUGAGUGUUUUGUGGCCAUGAAGAAGAGCAGUGAAACUUAUCUUAACAUUUCAUUUUUAAUCAUGAGUUUUUUUCUUUUUUUUGUACUUCAAUGGUCUGUUAUUUGAGAGUUGAUGAUGGAUGUGACAGCAAAA